UACGGGGGGUGCAACCGUUACUCGGAAUCAUUGGGCGUAAAGGGCGCGUAGGCUGCCUGAUAAGUCAGAUGUGAAAGCCCGGGGCUCAACCCCGGAAGUGCAUUUGAUACUGCUGGGCUUGAGUAUGUGAGAGGGAAGUGGAAUUCCUUGUGUAGAGGUGAAAUUCGUAGAUAUCAGGAGGAACACCGGUGGCGAAGGCGACUUCCUUGACCAAUACUGACGCUGAGGCGCGAAGGCGUGGGGAGCAAACAGG
rnacentral:rRNA from 1 species